rnacentral:rRNA from 1 species
CGAGUCGUUGAUUUCACACUGCCGAGAAAAGCCUCUAGAUAGAAAAUAGGUGCCCGUACCGCAAACCGACACAGGUAGUCAAGAUGAGAAUUCUAAGGUGAGCGAGCGAACUCUCGUUAAGGAACUCGGCAAAAUGACCCCGUAACUUCGGGAGAAGGGGUGCUCUUUAGGGUUAACGCCCAGAAGAGCCGCAGUGAAUAGGCCCAAGCGACUGUUUAUCAAAAACACAGGUCUCUGCUAAACCGUAAGGUGAUGUAUAGGGGCUGACGCCUGCCCGGUGCUGGAAGGUUAAGAGGAGUGGUUAGCUUCUGCGAAGCUACGAAUCGAAGCCCCAGUAAACGGCGGCCGUAACUAUAACGGUCCUAAGGUAGCGAAAUUCCUUGUCGGGUAAGUUCCGACCCGCACGAAAGGCGUAACGAUUUGGGCACUGUCUCAACGAGAGACUCGGUGAAAUCAUAGUACCUGUGAAGAUGCAGGUUACCCGCGACAGGACGGAAAGACCCCGUGGAGCUUUACUGUAGCCUGAUAUUGAAAUUCGGCACAGCUUGUACAGGAUAGGUAGGAGCCUUUGAAACGUGAGCGCUAGCUUACGUGGAGGCGCUGGUGGGAUACUACCCUAGCUGUGUUGGCUUUCUAACCCGCACCACUUAUCGUGGUGGGAGACAGUGUCAGGCGGGCAGUUUGACUGGGGCGGUCGCCUCCUAAAAGGUAACGGAGGCGCUCAAAGGUUCCCUCAGAAUGGUUGGAAAUCAUUCAUAGAGUGUAAAGGCAUAAGGGAGCUUGACUGCGAGACCUACAAGUCGAGCAGGGUCGAAAGACGGACUUAGUGAUCCGGUGGUUCCGCAUGGAAGGGCCAUCGCUCAACGGAUAAAAGCUACCCCGGGGAUAACAGGCUUAUCUCCCCCAAGAGUUCACAUCGACGGGGAGGUUUGGCACCUCGAUGUCGGCUCAUCGCAUCCUGGGGCUGUAGUCGGUCCCAAGGGUUGGGCUGUUCGCCCAUUAAAGCGGUACGCGAGCUGGGUUCAGAACGUCGUGAGACAGUUCGGUCCCUAUCCGUCGUGGGCGUAGGAAAUUUGAGAGGAGCUGUCCUUAGUACGAGAGGACCGGGAUGGACAUACCUCUGGUGUACCAGUUGUCGUGCCAACGGCAUAGCUGGGUAGCUAUGUGUGGACGGGAUAAGUGCUGAAAGCAUCUAAGCAUGAAGCCCCCCUCAAGAUGAGAUUUCCCAACUUCGGUUAUAAGAUCCCU